rnacentral:lncRNA from 1 species
UGCGGAUGGAGAGGGUUGACGGAGGAGCGGCGAUGGGGGCGCGUGGGUCGCCGGCGGGGAUGCUGGGCAUGGAAAUGAACCACCUCGUCCACCAGCCGCAGCCUCAGAUCCACGCCGCCUCCGCGUUCCAGCAGCAGGCGGAGCACCUCCACCACGGCAACGGCGGUGGCGGCGGCUUCCAGGUCCAGCACCACCAGCACCAGGCCAUGCCGGUGAGGCAGCAGCACUCGCAGCCGUCGUACGCGGCUUACGUGGCGCCGCCUUCGAGGGCGGUCAAGGCGCAUGAAGAGGAGGAGAUGGGCAACGGCGUCGGGAAUGGCGGCGGCGUCGUGCAGCAGCCGGGGGCGGGAGCGGGGGCGGCGGCGUGCCUGUGGACGCGGAUGAAGUGGACGGAUGCGAUGGUGCGUCUGCUCAUCGCGCUGGUGUACAACGCCGGGGACGACGUGGAGGGCGUGUCUGCAGGGGGCAAGGCGGCGGCGUCGCACCCGCACGGGAAGGCAUCGGCGUCUGCGGCGGCAGCGCACGGUGGGCACGGGCUGCAGGCGGCGGCGCAGCAGAAGAAGGGUAAGUGGAAGUCCGUGUCCAACGCGAUGCUGGAGAACGGCUUCUCGGUGUCGCCGCAGCAGUGCGAGGACAAGUUCAACGACCUCAACAAGCGCUACAAGCGAGUCGUCGACCUGCUCGGCCGCGGCAAGGCGUGCAGAGUGGUCGAGAACCCUGCGCUGCUCGACGCCAUGGCCGAGCUCACGGCCAAGGCCAAGGAGGAGGCGCGCAAGCUGCUCAGCUCCAAGCACCUCUUCUUCCGCGAGAUGUGCACCUACCACAACCCCCCCCGGCGCCGGCGCAGUAGCAUCGCACGGCGCCGAGGACGGCGCGGACUGCUUCCACCACCCGCGGCCGGCGACGGUGCCCGGCGCUGCCAACUCGUCUGCCGGCCCCCAGGCGGUGGCGAUGGUGAAUUCCUCGACACGCUCGGAGGGCGACAGCGAGGACGACGUCCUCAGCAGCAAAGAGGCUGAAGAGGAGGAGGAGGACGACUACGACCUGGACGACGUGGAGGAGAAGGCGCAGGGCACCAAGCGCCGCGGCGGCCGCGUCGACGACGGCAAUGGCUUCCACAACUACGGCGGGCACAACAAGCGCCGUCGUGGCGAGAGCAGCGCGACCACGGUCGGGGAAGACGGAGAAGA